rnacentral:rRNA from 1 species
UACGUAGGGUGCGAGCGUUGUCCGGAAUUAUUGGGCGUAAAGGGCUCGUAGGCGGUCUGUCACGUCGGGAGUGAAAACACGGGGCUUAACCCCGUGCCUGCUUCCGAUACGGGCAGACUAGAGGUAUGCAGGGGAGAGCGGAAUUCCUGGUGUAGCGGUGAAAUGCGCAGAUAUCAGGAGGAACACCGGUGGCGAAGGCGGUUCUCUGGGCAUUACCUGACGCUGAGGAGCGAAAGUGUGGGGAGCGAACAGG